rnacentral:rRNA from 1 species
UACAGAGGGUGCGAGCGUUAAUCGGAAUUACUGGGCGUAAAGCGCGCGUAGGCGGCUUUUCAAGUCGGAUGUGAAAUCCCCGGGCUUAACCUGGGAACUGCAUUCGAGACUGUCUAGCUAGAGUAUGGGAGAGGGAAGUGGAAUUUCAGGUGUAGCGGUGAAAUGCGUAGAUAUCUGAAGGAACAUCAGUGGCGAAAGCGACUUCCUGGACCAAUACUGACGCUCAUGUGCGAAAGCGUGGGGAGCAAACAGGAUUAGAAACCCCAGUAGUCC